AAGCUUUGCACAGUACCUUUUCCAAAAGUUCUAUGACCAACUACUAUUCCGCGAUUAUAAUCUUGAAUUGCUGCAGCAACUAUCUCUGAGGCUGAUGCAGAAUAUCUGUUAACUAAAACAAUCACAGGUUUUUUCCAAAUUUGUACUGCUCUUGAACUUCCCCAUGGUUGAAUAUAACCAGCACUAUAUUUUAUUUGUACCGUUGGUCCAGAUGAAACAAAUAAUCCAAUAAUUCUAUUUGCUUCCAUUAGAGCGCCGCCACCAUUAUUUCUUA
rnacentral:ncRNA from 1 species